ACCUACAAAAUAGGUUAAAAUUAUUAAUAAAACAUAGGCAAAAAAAUUUAAGUCAUAUUUUUGUACACUUCCAAUGAAGUCUGCUUAAAAUUAGUGGUUUAAUAGACUUUUUUUCUAGUCUACUAGUUUUAUCUUAUAAACAGACUUCAUUAGAAGUCUACAUUGUCUAUAAUUUUCAGAUCUGGAAAAAUAUGUCUAUUUUGAAAUGUGAAAAAUAGUUUUAAAUAAGAAAAACUUACAUUUUUUACAGAAGAAGAUGAAAACCAUGAAUUAGUACAUAAAAAAGCAAGAUAAUAUUGUGAAAAAGACAUAGCAUAAAAAAUACAAAUUUAAAAUCUAUAGAUCUAAAACUUAUAUUUUUAGAGAAGAUGAAAACCAUGAAUGAUACCUACAAAAACAAGAUAAUAUUGUGAGAAAGACAUAGCAUAAAAAUACACAUUUAAAAUCUAUAGAUCUAAAAUUUACAUUUUUAAAGGAGAAGAUGAAAACCAUGAAUCAUAAUACCUAAAAUAAUAAGAUAAUAUUGUGAGAAAGACAUGAGAGAGUUUUAGAGAGAAGUGAGAUAGAAACUUGUACAGCCAUUUCAGAGAGAGAUUGUGUAAAUUUUAUUUAUAUAUGGACAUAAAAGUUGUAACUAGGUUAAAAUUCUUUUGAAUUCUAUUUCAGAUAAGAGUUAUAAUUCUUUUGAAUUUUACUAAAAUUAAAAAUUUGGAGUAGACUUUAUUGUAUCAAUUAUCCACAUAUACAAAAUAUAAAAUACUCAACACUGAUAUGAAAGCCUGCUUAGGGUGAAAGACUAUGGGUAUGGGUUCGUAUUAUUGGGUAAGGCCCUCAUAACUGCCUGCUUAGGGUGUAAACUUUUGUAUUUCCUUUAUGCAUUUUAAUAGAAAGCCCUUUUUCAAAAAAAAAAAAAACACUAAUAUGAAAAUUUAAAUCAAUAAAACAAAAAAAUAUCAAUCUAAAAUCUAACCCUAAGAAUUUAACCUUAAAAGACAUAACAUGUUACAACCUUUUGUUUUAAACCAUAAAUAUUGUCUAACACAUGUUUACCAAAUCAAUAUAUAUUCUUUUAAUUGUUCAAUUAUAUAAAAUUUUAAUUUCUAAAUUUCAUAUUAACCCUUAUAUUAGUGAUUAAUUUAAAUUUUCACAAAAAAAUAUUUUAUACAUUUAUUACAAGAUCAGAUUACGAUGUAGACUUGUUUUGAGGUCUACAUAUAUGUAGACUUUUUUUGUUACAUAUAGACUUACAAAAGACAUAAUUGUAAAAUAACUUUUUGGUUUUUUGUUUUGUCAGAAUAGAUAAAUAAUACGUUUAUUAUCCUUUUAGGUUGGCUUUGCAUUUGAUUGAAUAUGUGAUCUACUUCUAUGGUUAGAAUCAAUAUUUGGGUUGGUCUUGGCAAAUUUUCCUUAUUUGUAUUCUCAUAAAUAAAAAUUUACAUUCAUUUAAAUUUAAAUAAACUUUCAUACUAAAUAAAAUACUGUAUAUAAAUAUAAUUCAAUAAAUUUAAAUCAAACAAUUUUUAUAAUAAUUUUUUAGUGAUAAUAUAUCAUACAUUUAAUAAAAUAAUUUACAGAGAUUUUAUUACAAAUUAAUAACAAAAAAAUAUAAAAAACGAAAAAUUAAAUUGAAUAAUGUCUUAUAAAAUUUCAUAUUUAAUAAAUACAAAAUAAUAAAUUUUAUUGUAAUUUUCAUAAAUAAUUAUUAAGUUUGUUUAAAUUUAAAGAGAACUUCAAAUUUAUUUAAUAAUGUAUAAACAUAAAAUGUAAGAAACUGACGUCAAAUAAAUUUAUAAAUAUUUUUUUUUUUCAAAACAUACCAUACAAUUAAACAAAUAUAUUACGGAUAUUUUCUUAAAUUCAUAACGAAAAGAGUUGAAAUAACUCAAAAUUAAAUUAAAAAUAUCUUAUAAAAUUUCAUAUUUAAUAAAUAUAAAAGAAUAAAAUUAUAUAAAUGUAUAUAAAUAUUAAAAUACACUAAAAUUUCUCUUAUUAAAACAGAAAAAUUUUCUUGGACCCAACCUUCUUGUAUGUUUUUAAAUUAAAUAAACUCCCAUAUAAUAAGUUAAUUAUGAAUACAAAAAUAGAUUACUAUCUAAUUUUCCAAACAACACAAUAAUUAACCUUGUGUCCAUACAAUAUCAAACAUUAUAAUUGACUAAAACAUUCAAAUAAUUUUUAAAAUUGAAAAAUAAGUAUAACAUAUUUUACAGGUUUAGAUACUAUUCAAUUAAAUUUAAGGAUUAUUUUAUUUAUAUUUUAAUAAAUAAAAAAUACCUUCAUUUAAAAUUAAAUAAAAUUUUAUACUAAAUUAAAAAAUUAUAUAAAUCAAAUGCGAAAAAGGCAUAAAAUUUUUUAUAAUUAAAAUGUAUUAAAAUAUAUCAUACGAUUAAAUCAAAUAGAUUACAUAGAUUUUAUGAAACAAUUAUAACGAAUAGAGUUGAGAAAAAUUAAAAAUUAAAUUAAAUAAUAUCUUAUACAAUUUUAUUUUAAUAAAUAGUAAAUAAUACAUUUUAUUAUAAUUUUAAUUAAAAAUUACGUUCAUUUAAAUUUAGUGUCUGUUAUAUUUUUUGGAGUAUGUUUUAGAGUGUUUUCAGGUUCAAGUACGUUCUAAAGAAGUUUGGUGAUUUUGAAGCUUUUUGAGGUGAAGAACUGCACAUAGGCGUCAGAUGUUUAGCUAUAGAUGGAGACCUUCCCACAGUGCGAUUGAGCCCAUCUUUUAACAUAAGAUAGAGCUUCGAAAUUAUCUUUCCAAUGCCACCAUUUUGAGGUCAAUCAGCAUCCUAUAGCAUACGUUAUGCUUGAUUUACUGAACAGUCGUACGUCUGUCUCAUGAGAGGAAGCUGUCAAGGAGAUGAAUGAAUGUCGAUCUAACGACACAGCCGUGGUGUCAAUCGACGGUGGUGCCAGAAGACAGGCCGAGUCUAUUUCAUUACAGACUUAACCCCAUAACCCACCACAAAUUAUCAGAAUGCCUAUGGGCGACUCUAAACCCUAUUUAUGUGUGUUUCUAAGCUAUUGUUGAUGGCUACGCUUUUUGUACUUUAAUUUAUUCAUAUUCUUAGGUCUGGAGAGAAGAUCAAUUCUCCUUCAGAGUUUCAUUGAAACUCAUUUAGUUUUAUCUUUUAUUUUUUUUAUCUAUUAUAUUAUUUAAACCAUGAUUUGUGUUAUUGCUUGCAUGUUUGAGUAAUCAUACUGUUAUAUUUAGGAAUUUCAUGAGCUUAUUGUCAAACUGAUAAAAUCUGUUAGGAUUUCUAGGGUAGUUUAUUAAAUUCUACACCAAAGUAGCUUGUAAUACUAGGAUCUGGAAUAGUUAGAAAAACACGACAAUGUGACUGAUUGUUUGAACCUAGAAUCAUAUGACAAUUGAGAGGCACGAAAGUGCAAUUGAUUAACAGAACCCGAACCCGGAGUGAAUUAGAUACCUAGGCGCAUACGACAGUUGGUCUAGGGUUUAGUUAAAAAAUAUCGACUAUGCGUUAAUGCUUUUCUGAAGAAGCAUCGAUCGAUGCUAUGUUCGCACGCGAAAGCUGGAACAUAGGACUUAGACAUCUGAUUAGUAAUUGCAUGUGAAAGCUGGAUUACUUGCUAAUUGAAUUCGAGUUGUAGAAUUGAACCUAUAAAACCCUUAGCAUCCUUGAUUGUAGUACUGAAUCUCUUGAUAGAUAAAUCCCUAGAUUUGGCGUAUCUCCCUUAUUGUUUACAAACAAUUCAAUCAAUCAAUUGAACAACUACCUUGUUCACUCUAUUUUCAUUUAUUAUUGUUUUUCAUAUUGAUUGCCUAGCUUAACCUUGAUUUCUAAAGUCUAUUAUAUGCCCACGCUCCCUGUGGAUUCGAACCCUAAGUACUACAACAGAAUCUUUUAUUUGAGAGAAUAAAAUUUUUCAAAGGAUAAUUUAAGUGAUAUCACUAACGUUUAGUUUUUGUGAAAAUACUGUUAAAUGAUAAGUUUCAAUUUAGAAAUGGAUAAUUAACAAAAUCUGUUAGUCCAAGUCUUAUUUUUUUAUUUUUUAAAAUAAAAUUCCAUUUAUCUCCCAAAAUAGGGCAUCAGAACAGUAGCCGUCCGGUUUACCGGUGAAAUGAUGAAAGUUAAGUUACAAGUAAAACUAAUAAGAGAAGAAACAACAAGAAUCUUAGCAAAAAGGAGAGGGGUUGAGGGUGAAAAUGAAAUCAUUCCGAUUAGUUUAAAAACAAUUCCAUACAUGUUUUUGUUAGGUCAAUUGUUUUUAAACUAAUCGGAAUGAUUUCAUUAAAAAAUGUAUAUGAAAAUAAAGCUAAUGAAUAUUAUGUAGAUAAUUGAAUAAAAUUAUCAUACAUUUUGAUCAAAUAAAACUCUUAAUUUUAUGUUAUAAUUGAAAUGUAUAGACUAGAAGUUUAUUUAUAUGAAGUGUAAUUAAUAUGACAUAUAUGAACACAAAAUUUUAUUCGUAUUUCUAUAUGUUAGUAACAUCAGUUAUUUUUGCAUGCAUUAAUUUACAAUCUAAUAAAACAUUAUAUAAUUUAUCUAAGUAAUUUAAUAAUUAAAUGAUAGCCAUUGCAUAAUAUAUAUAUAUAUAAAUAUAAUAAAAUAAUUAUGAAAAUGUUGAAAAUAUAUAUUAUCUGAAGAUAAAUAAUUAACACUAUUUAUAAAUUAAAAAUUAAACUGAUUAUAAUAUGAACCAAAUUAUUAGCAAGAUAAAUUACACAAAAAAAUUAUGAUUAAUGUUAAUUAAGCCACAUCAAAUAAAUAUUACAUAACUAAAAUCUCUCUUAACCAAAAAUAUAUUUCUUAACACUAAACAUCAUUCAAUUAAUUUAAUCAAUUUAAAAUAAAUCUGCGAUGUUGCGCAGGUCAAAAUAUUAUAUUCUUCAUUCCAUACGCACACCCUAUAAUAUAUAGAAAUAUAUAAUAUAUUUCUUACAAGGUACAUAUUUUAAAAUAAAGCUAGUCUAGAUGUACCCAAAUUUAAAAUGUAUUAUUCAUUGUAUUAAGUCAUUUGUACAUUAUACAUCUAUAAAUAGAGGAUCAAGCAUAAAAAAAAUGAAAGAAAAGCCUCAAAAAUCAGGCAUACAUAACUAUUGACUCUACCUAAAAAAAUGGUUCUUACAGAUGCUGAGAUUCUAGAGAUUAAAAGUGAAUUCGAACGUGUUAUAAAAACAUCAGAACUAGAUGAAGAGCAUAUGAAGGAUCUAGAAGAGAAGAUGACCGAAUACCUUGAAAAGGAAAAGCUUGUGGGUAGUUUACUCAACGCUGUGCUAAAGAUGAUAGACAAUUCUGAUGUGAAGAAACAGGAUUGCUCAUCUCCAUCAAUUCCCUCGGCCUCGGAUGACAAGGGAAAGCAGAAGUAGUAGUAGUAUUCGUUCUUUCAAAGCUUUUAUUGAAUAACUAAUCUGAGAUUUGUGUAAUAAAGAAAAGAUUUCAUUGUCUUUCUGUUUCAAAUAUGUAGGAUUCUCAUGAUAAACCAAUAAGUCUGUUUCUUUUGUUUUUUGGAUCCUUCCUAUACCUCUCUCUUCAUCAUUUUAAUUUUAAAAUAAAUUAUAUUUUGGAAAAAUAGCAUGCCACACGGAUAUUCACGCACAUGUACACGCCUCCAAUUUUUUUCUCACAAACCUUAUCUCUCUGAGUCUCACCAUAGUUCUUCAUUUUGUCUCUCUGGCGCUGAUUGUCGCUGUGAGAGGGCUCCAUCUUCUCCCACCAUGUCCAUCUUCCUUUUCGGGGUAAGUUUCUCUCGGUGAUGCCAUGUCCCCCAUUUGUUUCCAGGGGUGGAUCCAUCACAUUAUGUAAUAUAGGGUGUAUAUUAUAAAAUAUAUUUUGAUUAGGGACAUUUACUUAAAUUAUAGGUUAUUAUUGAAGUAAUUAUAAAAUCAGUGUGGCACUUGCCCCACCUAAGGUCUACCUGAGUCUGUCCAUGUCUGGUUCAUGUUGAUAACUCUAUCUCUGCAGUCUUGGGUGAGUUUGUUUCAAGAAUAGAGAUCUCGAAAACGACGAGGGAUGGUUCUGUAGUAACAGCAACAAUUUCUCCUCCCUCUCUAUUUCCGGAUUCAAAAAAGUUCUCCCAAAUUUAGCAAGGCUUCGUAUAUCACCGACGAGACCUUUAAUGGAACUUUUGGCCAUCUAACUGGAAGGCUUAUUUGGUGUGGGGUUGGCUUGUGACUCAUGUCAUAUGGGUCUCUUACUGUAGGGUGGAGGGAGCUCCCUCCAAAUUCAAGUCUCUUCGACCUCAAUUCUUGUUAUCUCAUCUCCCCUCAUUUUUUGAUUUGGUGUUGCUUGUUGUCCUGAAUUUGAUUCUCACUUUAGCAAUUACAUGUAGAAUAAUCUAUUCAUUUUGUUGUGCUUUGCGGUUCACUUUCCUUCAAGAGGAGGUAGUAAGGUUUCAGAGUGGUGAUGUUGUUCC